GACGGUUCCAUGUCAGGUCGCCCAAUGUCAGCCCGCCCCCUUACAAAGUCGCCCUCAAUUGGUCAUGUCGCCUCCCGAUUUUUUGUGCCGAUUUUGGGAUUCUUGGUCAGCUCGCCCCCACUUUUUUGGUCAUCUCGCCCCCUAAUUUGUUGUUUUAAUUUGAUGUAUUUUACAAGUUCAAAGUCAAGCCAUUUUUAGUUCCUUGCAUCUCAGUACUAUGUUAUUACUUUGUUAUCACUAAAUAUUGAAAAUUUUCCUCGUAACUGCAUAUUUUUGAGGAUAUUUGCAUCUAAGUUUCCACCGGCUUACGUAGUAGGUCUACUACCUCAUCGCUCGUUCUGACUCGACUGGCUUAGUUCUAGUGACGGAGCUUACGGAUGAAUGCUUGAAUUCAGGUAAAAUAAACUUGAAUACAACCAUAUUUUCUGUAUUUGUAAUGAAAGAAAGUGUUCUCACAGUGAAAAGUUGGUAAAAGUUAAAUUUUCAAACAGCUACAUUUCAACUCUAGACUAUUGAAUUAUUCAUUCGGAAGUUAGCGCUGCUGCGGCCUGCGCCUGCUCUGCAUGUACUGGCCGUACAACCGCCCACUCGCACCGGCGUUUUUUUUGUAAACAACACACCCCAAAUACAGACAGACACACAAAAAACAACAUGAGCGAAGCUACUUAUUUGCAUCUGGCCCAUUCUGGGAUUAAUUUGCAGAUGCAGUAGAUACAAUUUGCACUUAUAUGAAGGAAGCACUGGGAAAGUACAUCUACUUUUCAAAAAUGCCACAGGCCAGAAACAAAUCCAGAUUGGAUACAGGGACCGACAUGCUGGGAAGAUGGGUCCUUGAUAAUUCACUGAACACAGAGCUGCAGAUGUGACUUGGCAUAGUGACCUAAGAGUGGGAGCGGUACGGAACCGUUGAAGCAAUUCACCGAACACUGUUGAAGCAAUUCACUGAACACAGUCAGAGCUGCAUGUGUGACUUGGCAUGGUGACCCUUAAAGUCUCCUGACGGCUCCGAUUGCGAUUCUGAUGAUGAACCAUUGUCUAUGCUUCUGAGCGAGUCAAAAGUCUAGAUCAAGAAUCUUCGCUGCUUCAACCACUAUCGCUUGGAUGACAUACGUGUGAAGAAACUUGAAGAACUUGUGUUGAAGAGCAUGCUUGAGAAACUAGAAUCAAUUACAUUGAUCGUUUUGGCAAUGCUUCAAUGUUUCAAUACCUCAAUCUCUCUUUUAUACUGUUUGAUUUUAGACAUUUUGAAUAUCAUAAAUAAAGCAAACUCCACUCAUAAUUGUAAUUGUGUGUAGUAAUUGCAAUGAAAUAGAUCCAUUUAAAAUCAAUGAAUUGAUUUAAAGCAAACUGGUAACAUUUUCCAUGAUUUCUUAAACAAUGAACUGAAUGGUCGUAAAGGUGUUUGGUAAACUUUGUAGCGUUUGAGACUGUGUACUAAAUUUUAUUGAAAUAUCCUAGAAAGAGAUUGUGUAAACUGACUUGGUUCUGAUACUCUACUCACAAGAUAUUUAUGAAAAACAGAGAUGAACAAAAAAAGUAACGAUGAUGAUUAUAUUAGUCAUUUUUCCUAUUGAAAAACUUCAUGAUACAUGUAGUACAUGUAUGUCAAGCAUUUUGUAUGUCACAUGUGGCAUUUCCUCCCUACGAUUGCUGAACAAACAUGAUAACCAGGACAUGUAUAACGAAUUAGAUAAAGACAUUUUAGCAUAUUUACAAGUACUGUAUAAUGAAUGAAAUAACCUUUGUAUUCCGUGGAUGUAUACCUGAUGAGUCUUUUCGAAAAACCCUAGAUGUACAUUUCAAAAUGCAAUACAGUAUUGAUGAUAAUUGAUGAUGAUAUGUUUGGUAUGAAUUAUUUAAUAUUUUUGAAUUUAUGCUCUAUUUGCCACUUGCUGUUCUGGUUCCAAAUGUUUGAAUUAAAACUGCUCAGUCGAAAUUCA